AGAGUUUGAUCCUGGCUCAGAGCGAACGCUGGCGGAAUGCUCAACACAUGCAAGUCGCACGGGGGCUUCGGCUCUAGUGGCGGACGGGUGAGUAACGCGUAGGAACGUGUCUUGGGGUGGGGGAUAACGCUGGGAAACUGGCGCUAAUACCGCAUGUCUGCUGCGGCAGAAAGCCUUCGGGUGCCUUGAGAGCGGCCUGCGUCCGAUUAGCUAGUUGGUGGGGUAAAGGCUUACCAAGGCUUCGAUCGGUAGCUGGUCUGAGAGGACGAUCAGCCACACUGGGACUGAGACACGGCCCAGACUCCUACGGGAGGCAGCAGUGGGGAAUAUUGGACAAUGGGCGGAAGCCUGAUCCAGCAAUUCCGCGUGGGUGAAGAAGGUCUUCGGAUUGUAAAGCCCUUUCGACAGGGACGAUGAUGACGGUACCUGUAGAAGAAGCCCCGGCUAACUUCGUGCCAGCAGCCGCGGUAAUACGAAGGGGGCUAGCGUUGCUCGGAAUUACUGGGCGUAAAGGGCGCGUAGGCGGCUGUGUUAGUCAGGCGUGAAAUUCCUGGGCUCAACCUGGGGACUGCGCUUGAUACGGCAUGGCUUGAGGAUGGAAGAGGCUCGCGGAAUUCCCAGUGUAGAGGUGAAAUUCGUAGAUAUUGGGAAGAACACCGGUGGCGAAGGCGGCGAGCUGGUCCAUUACUGACGCUGAGGCGCGACAGCGUGGGGGAGCAAACAGGAUUAGAUACCCUAGUAGUCC
rnacentral:rRNA from 1 species